AACGAACGCUGGCGGCAGGCUUAACACAUGCAAGUCGAACGGGUGUAGCAAUACAUCAGUGGCAGACGGGUGAGUAACACGUGGGAACCUUCCUAGGGGUACGGAACAACUCAGGGAAACUUGAGCUAAUACCGUAUACGUCCGUGAGGAGAAAGAUUUAUCGCCCUUAGACGGGCCCGCGUCGGAUUAGGUAGUUGGUGGGGUAACGGCCUACCAAGCCUACGAUCCGUAGCUGAUCUUAGAGGAUGAUCAGCCACACUGGGACUGGGACACGGCCCAGACUCCUACGGGAGGCAGCAGGGGGGAAUCUUGGACAAUGGGCGCAAGCCUGAUCCAGCCAGGCCGCGUGAGUGAAGAAGGCCUUAGGGUUGUAAAGCUCUUUUACCAGGGACGAUAAUGACGGUACCGUAAGAAUAAGCACCGGCUAACUACGUGCCAGCCGCCGCCGUAAUAC
rnacentral:rRNA from 1 species